GCUCUGCCUGCCGCGGGGGCGCACCAGGGGCCUGGCGACAAGACGACACGCCGCGGUGGGUCCCUGAGGCUACCAACCCAACAAAAGCUUCCCGGCGACUCAAGAGCUGUGUCUCCCCAGACUGCCUUUGGAUUUGAACCGCCACUCUUCCCUAGGUCUCCAGCCUGGUGGCCUCCCCCAUGAGAUUUUGAACUCGCCAAGCCUCAAUAAUCCUGAAAAGCCACUGAGGAUACGAGAAGAAGGCAGCCAUCCCCAAGCAGGAAGAGACACUCCACAGGAACUGAACUUGCCACCACCCUGAUAUCGAACUUCUAGUUUCCGUAACUAUGAGCCUUCCAUCCCUAAGCCUGAGCCAUAAUGGAAGGGAAGGCAGU
rnacentral:lncRNA from 1 species